UACGGAGGGUGCAAGCGUUAUCCGGAUUCACUGGGUUUAAAGGGUGCGUAGGUGGGCUGGUAAGUCAGUGGUGAAAUCCCCGAGCUUAACUUGGGAACUGCCAUUGAUACUAUCAGUCUUGAAUACUGUGGAGGUCAGCAGAAUAUGUCAUGUAGCGGUGAAAUGCUUAGAUAUGACAUAGAAUACCAAUUGCGAAGGCAGCUGGCUACACAAAUAUUGACACUGAGGCACGAAAGCGUGGGGAUCAAACAGG
rnacentral:rRNA from 1 species